GAUGAAGAACGUAGCGAAAUGCGAUAAGUAGUGUGAAUUGCAGAAUACAGUGAAUCAUCGAAUCUUUGAACGCACAUUGCGCCCCAUGGUAUUCCGUGGGGCAUGCCUGUUCGAGCGUCAUUUACCCCCUCAAGCUCCGCUUGGUGUUGGGCGUCUGUCCCGCUUCGCGCGCGGACUCGCCCCAAAGGUAUUGGCAGCGGUCGUGCCAGCUUCUCGCGCAGCACAUUGCGCUUCUCGAGGCACCGGUGGGCCCGCGUCCAUCAAGCUCACCCCCCCAGUUUGACCUCGGAUCAGGUAGGGAUACCCGCUGAACUUAAGCAUAUCAAUAAGCGGAGGA
rnacentral:misc_RNA from 1 species